rnacentral:lncRNA from 1 species
CGGCCUGCCUCCCCUCUCCGCCCCCUCCGGCCUCCUUCCUCCCCAGCCGGUGAAUUUUCUUUUUUUCUUUUUUGGAUUUUCUUUGUGGCAUUUUUCCUCUAAUAAAAAAUGAUCUGCAUUUGUACGUGUAUUAGAUAAAAAGCUUUUUAAACGGUCGUCUAGGAAUACAUAUUUGUUGUGAAGUUAAAAUAUUAGAAUAAUAUAGUUGAAAGUGAAAUUCAAUAACCAUGUUGUAGAGCUACUGUUCAAUGGUUUAUUGAUGCUGAAAUAUUUCAUGUGCAUCCCAGUAGCUUCACAAUAUUUAUAUAAUCAGUCUAAUGGGAUUGUUUCUGUUGGUAUGCAACUCAGCUAUUGGAUGUUAAUGGUGAAUCGAAGAUAGUGCUUAUUCCUAUUGUAGUUGCUGUAAGUCCGCUAUUGUGUUGUUUAUCCCAUUUGAAGUUCUGGCUUAUAUUGAUAGAAAAUGCAAACACAUAAAUUCUUUCCUAGUUACACAUCAUCUUUAGUUUCAUGUUUUUCUCAUGUUUGUGUCAGCCAUGUUAAAUUAAUUCAUGUAGUUCGUCUACGCCGAAUUACAUGAAUCUAGUUUUGUACUGUUUUCGUAUUAUCCUAGGCUCAACUCACUUGAAUUUUUCUGCAUUCAAGGAUUAGGGUUUAAGGGUUGGGUUAGGGUUUAGGGUUUAGGGUUUAUAAAAUGUUCAUGCUUAUAAAAUGUAUGCUUAUAAAAUGUAUGCUUCUUUGCGAAUGUGCAUGCAUGUAUGCUUGAAUGCUUAUAAAAUGUUCAUGCUCAUGUAGGUGACAUCGACCUCAACCUUGACUACUUCGUCUACGAUUAGCUUGGUGAGCAUCUCCCUCUAUCUCGCCUUCCCCUUUUUCUCUGUCCCGCCAUCGAGCCAAUGACACUUGUAGUUUAAAUGUCAAAGUUGCGUAACCCUAUGCGUCUCCCGUCCAAAAGGGUUACGUAUAUAGAUAUGCAAGUCUUUGCAUAUCUAUAAGAGUAACUCUUUCGGAUUGUCCACGUUUUUUGGACAGCCCGAGGGUGUAGAUUGGGUUCGUUUCCGUGCUCUAGUCCGGUCCGAGACGUGAUUUCGGCAGCGUCUCCCCGUUGUUCUCCAGAUGCACAUUCUCUUGGCUUU